rnacentral:rRNA from 1 species
UACGGGGGGGGCAAGCGUUGUUCGGAAUUACUGGGCGGAAAGGGCGCGUAGGCGGUCAGCACAAGUCAGUUGUGAAAUCUCCGGGCUUAACUCGGAAAGGUCAACUGAUACUGUGCGACUAGAGUGCAGAAGGGGCAACUGGAAUUCUCGGUGUAGCGGUGAAAUGCGUAGAUAUCGAGAGGAACACCGGUGGCGAAGGCGGCAUCCUGGACCAAUAUUGACGCUGAGGAGCGAAAGCCAGGGGAGCAAACGGG